UACGAAGGGGGCUAGCGUUGCUCGGAAUCACUGGGCGUAAAGCGCACGUAGGCGGAUCUUUAAGUCAGGGGUGAAAUCCUGGAGCUCAACUCCAGAACUGCCUUUGAUACUGGGGAUCUCGAGUCCGGAAGAGGUGAGUGGAACUCCGAGUGUAGAGGUGAAAUUCGUAGAUAUUCGGAAGAACACCAGUGGCGAAGGCGGCUCACUGGCCCGGUACUGACGCUGAAAUACGAAAGCGUGGGGAGCAAACAGG
rnacentral:rRNA from 1 species